AUGACUUGCUUCGUGCAUCCCAAUGUGUAUACUAUGUUAGACAUUUCCCAGGAUCCCACUCACCAUUAUCAGAGUCCACUUACAAACUAUGAGACAUGCUCAUCAGCUCACACACUACCCAGGUGUUCUUCCUUAAUAGUCUUUCUUGUCACCAGCCUAACACCUGGUGGAACCCAAGCAAAAACACCUACUGGAAAUGGACAGAAACUUAACAAAGGUGAUUUCUGCCCACCUGACUCAAUGAGGGACUUAGCCACUUGUACUUCCUGUGGUGCCUGGGGCAGGACAGGGCUCUCUUUAGUAAUGUCAUGUUCUAAUUACUUAUGAAUACUUUAUACCGUGUUAUAGAAAACAUCUACACAUCUACACAUACACAUAUAUUUUAGGGGAAUUAGGAGCAGUAAGUAUUGUUUUACCCUAGAACUGUGUUAAAUGAGUUUUAACAUUUAACGUUUUAACAUAAUCUGUCUUGCCCCUCCCUAAUCCUAUCCUUGCAACCCCACCAAAAAAAAAAAAAAGUAUUGAAGGAUGAUCAUGAACGAAACCUUUAAGUCUUUAAGUUGAGCCUAAUGAAUCAUGGCACCCAGGAAAAGGAAUUUUCUAGCUAUUUCUGAGUUUAAGAAGAAAUUUUUUAUUUAACCCUCCCUGCUUAGAACUUUCAAAACUGAGAAAGCAUAUUGUCCGCACACUCUGCUCUUUCCCAGAUUCCAUGCAGUGAGGGUAAUGUAAUGGAGGCUGAUGAAUCAUGGGAAUCCAGCCUUGUCCUAUAAGGUGAGAGUGCUUUGUGUUUGGUUUAAUAACACUGCCGUUACAGUGUGCUAUCACACCUUAUUUUAACAUAAACAGUUCUAUGUUCAAAAUAUGGGCUGUAACUUUAGCCCAUAUAAGUGGGGGAAGAAAGCAGACUUGAAUGGACUUGGGGAGCAUGAGACCUUUUAUUUGGGACCCUGACAUCUUUUACACUGUGCUGAACAGUGUCACCUGUGUGCUUUUAUAUCUGUCACUUACUGAAUGACACCUCUAGGGUUUGAAGCCAUGCUCCAUUCACUGCCAGGCACGCUGCUUCUCCAACAAAAAUUACAUAAUACAUCAAUGGGAUGGAUUUAACUUCGGGAAAUUGCAAAGUUCUGACAUGUUUACAUUCAAUAGAAAUGCUAUUUUUGUUAUCUAUUUUAAUGUUAACAUUUAAUGAUUAAAUUCUAAAAAUACUGCUAUUCUAAACAAUUCUUUAGCUAAUUGUAAUUAUUGCACUGUUACUGUUUGGCACAGGCACUUGAUUAGAGAUUUCAUCUGAGUACUAUUUUCGAGUGUCAAGGAUCCUGUUUUGAGCACAGGAGACUAGGAAUUUGGUCAAAUGAGUAUUGCUUCUCUUUGCUCUUUAAUAUGAUGAAGCCUGGAGCUAUGGAACUUUUAUAUAUUUUAACUGGGGACUCCAAUAUAUCUAAGGGUGACUUAGACCCCAGGGCUGAGUCAAUUUUCCUUUUUCUGUAUCCACACAAAACACUUGACUUCAGCCAUCUCUUUCCCUUUUACUUUCUUUGUCAGAAAUUCUUGAAAAGAAAAGCCACAGGACUCAAUCCUUUCAUCAGCCCUUAAAAGGCAACCCUAACUCUGUUUUCCUCUCACAAUGGGCCAUAUCACAACUACUCUCUGCUCGCAGAAUAUUGACCACCGAAUUAAGGGAACUUGAACUCCUGGUAUUGAGACCCUGCAGCAUGGCUCAGCUGACAUCUUUCAUUAUUGCUUUAUCUGUUACCAUAAUUAUUUCCUUUACUUUCAUUUUGGGUUGUAAAGUUUUUCAAAGCAGAGAUGUUUAUUGAUGUUACUCUGUGGUGCUUGCUGCUGUACUGACUAUAAAGUAUUGGGUAUUAGAUAUAAUUGGUUUCGUUGUAUGCAGUACAUACAUGUUUAUAAGUGUCUCUACAGUAACCAUAAUGUCAGCCAUGUUUGACUCUAUUAAAAUGUGUCCUUUUGAUAACUUAGGACUUCACUACAAAUGCAUUUCCUGUCUACUGAAAAAUAAAAGGAAGACUGAAAGAAGCUUGGAGAGAUUA
ensembl:lncRNA